rfam:Kouleothrix aurantiaca strain COM-B contig_466, whole genome shotgun sequence.
CUGAGGAACCCUGCCCCGCUAUGAAGGGGUUUGAAAC